rnacentral:rRNA from 1 species
CCUACGGGAGGCAGCAGUGAGGAAUAUUGGUCAAUGGGCGGGAGCCUGAACCAGCCAAGUCGCGUGAGGGAAGACGGUCCUAUGGAUUGUAAACCUCUUUAGGCGGGGAGCAAUGCCGGGCACGCGUGCCCGGAGGGAGAGUACCCGCAGAAUAAGCAUCGGCUAACUCCGUGCCAGCAGCGGCGGUCAUACGGAGGAUGCGAGCGUUAUCCGGAUUGAUUGGGUUUAAAGGGUGCGUAGGCGGAUUUGUAAGUCAGCGGUAAAAUGUCCGGGCUCAACCCGGGCCGGCCGUUGAAACUGGGGAUCUUGAGUGGGCGAGAAGUAUGCGGAAUGCGUGGUGUAGCGGUGAAAUGCAUAGAUAUCACGCAGAACUCCGAUUGCGAGGGCAGCAUACCGGCGCCCGACUGACGCUGAGGCACGAAAGCGUGGGGAUCGAACAGGAUUAGAUACCCUAGUAGUC